rnacentral:rRNA from 1 species
GACGGAGGGGGCUAGCGUUGUUCGGAAUUACUGGGCGUAAAGCGUGUGUAGGUGGUUGCCGUAGUCAGGCGUGAAAGCCUUGAGCUCAACUCAAGAAAUGCGCUUGAUACUGGGCAGCUAGAGGACCGGAGAGGAUAGUGGAAUUCCCAGUGUAGUGGUGAAAUACGUAGAGAUUGGGAAGAACACCAGUGGCGAAGGCGGCUAUCUGGACGGUUUCUGACACUAAGACACGAAAGCGUGGGGAGCAAACAGG